CACAAAGUUUAUUUUAUUGUUUCCAAAAUCUUGAGCGUGUGACCACAGACCGCUAGCUGCUCGAGUAAACAUGCUGUGAUUGGUGUGUUCAGGCUUACCUGCUGAUCGAGGAGGACAUCCAGGAACUGGCUCACAGUGACGAGUACAGGGAGUGUCCUGACGUGCGGAUGGAUGAGCUGAAGCCGUUCACGGUUCCUGGGUGGAUGGUGGAGAAGAUGCAGAGA